GCUUAUGGCCAUACCACCUUAGGCACGCCCGAUCUCGUCUGAUCUCGGAAGCUAAGCAGGGUCGGGCCUGGUUAGUACUUGGAUGGGUGACCGCCUGGGAAUACCAGGUGCUGUAAGCA
ensembl:rRNA 5S_rRNA 5S ribosomal RNA